AUAAUUUGGUGGGCGUUGAUGUGCCCUUUGUAUCUGGUCGCUUGAGGGGUACGGAGCCAAUAGCGAAACCGCCGCCGUCAUAG
rnacentral:ncRNA from 10 species